AGUGAAGCGGCAACAGCUCAAAUUUGAAAUCUGGCUUCGGCCCGAGUUGUAAUUUGCAGAGGAAGCUUUAGGCGCGGCACCAUCUGAGUCCCCUGGAACGGGGCGCCACAGAGGGUGAGAGCCCCGUAUAGAUGGACGCCUAGCCUGUGUAAAGCUCCUUCGACGAGUCGAGUAGUUUGGGAAUGCUGCUCUAAAUGGGAGGUAAAUUUCUUCUAAAGCUAAAUACCGGCCAGAGACCGAUAGCGCACAAGUAGAGUGAUCGAAAGAUGAAAAGCACUUUGAAAAGAGGGUUAAAUAGCACGUGAAAUUGUUGAAAGGGAAGCGCUUGUGACCAGACUUGCGCCGGGCGGAUCAUCCGGUGUUCUCACCGGUGCACUCCGCCCGGCUCAGGCCAGCAUCGGUUCUCGUGGGGGGACAAAGGUCCCGGGAACGUAGCUCCUCCGGGAGUGUUAUAGCCCGGGGCGUAAUGCCCUCGCGGGGACCGAGGACCGCGCUUCGGCAAGGAUGCUGGCGUAAUGGUCAUCAGCGACCCGUCUUGAAACACGGACCAAGGAGUCAAGGUUUUGCGCGAGUGUUUGGGUGUAAAACCCGCACGCGUAAUGAAAGUGAACGUAGGUGAGAGCUUCGGCGCAUCAUCGACCGAUCCUGAUGUUUUCGGAUGGAUUUGAGUAGGAGCGUUAAGCCUUGGACCCGAAAGAUGGUGAACUAUGCUUGGAUAGGGUGAAGCCAGAGGAAACUCUGGUGGAGGCUCGCAGCGGUUCUGACGUGCAAAUCGAUCGUCAAAUCUGAGCAUGGGGGCGAAAGACUAAUCGAACCAUCUAGUAGCUGGUUACCGCCGAAG
rnacentral:rRNA from 1 species